CCUACGGGAGGCAGCAGUGGGGAAUAUUGGGCAAUGGACGCAAGUCUGACCCAGCAACGCCGCGUGAAGGAAGAAGGCUUUCGGGUUGUAAACUUCUUUUAAGGGGGAAGAGAAGAAGACGGUACGCCUGGAAUAAGCCACGGCUAACUACGUGCCAGCAGCCGCGGGAAUACGUAGGUGGCAAGCGUUGUCCGGAUUUACUGGGUGUAAAGGGCGUGCAGCCGGGAAGACAAGUCAGAUGUGAAAUCCCGCGGCUCAACCGCGGAACUGCCUUUGAAACUGUUUUUCUUGAGUAUCGGAGCGGUAAUCGGACUUCCUAGUGUAGCGGUGAAAUGCGUAGAUAUUAGGCAGAACCCCAGUGGCGCAGGCGGCUUACUGGACGACAACUGACGGUGAGGCGCGAACGCGUGGGGAGCAAACAGGAUUAGCUACCCGGGUAGUC
rnacentral:rRNA from 1 species